AUCUUUGCGCUUGGGGCAAUGACGCAGCUAAUGAGGUUCUAACCGAGGCGCGUCUAUUGCUGGUUGAAAACUAUUUCCAAACCCCCUAUUCGGCCUAAGCUUGUCUUAGGCUGUUGAGAAUUUCUGGAAGGGCUCCCUUCGGAGUAAAGUC
rfam:Cephalotus follicularis DNA, scaffold: scaffold1783, isolate: St1.